rnacentral:rRNA from 1 species
CCGCAUAAGCCCACGACCCGGCAUCGGGUAGAGGGAAAAGGAGCAAUCCGCUUUGAGAUGGCCUCGCGUCCGAUUAGCUAGUUGGUGAGGUAAUGGCCCACCAAGGCGACGAUCGGUAGCCGGACUGAGAGGUUGAACGGCCACAUUGGGACUGAGACACGGCCCAGACUCCUACGGGAGGCAGCAGUGGGGAAUAUUGCACAAUGGGGGAAACCCUGAUGCAGCGACGCCGCGUGGAGGAAGAAGGUCUUCGGAUUGUAAACUCCUGUUGUUGAGGAAGAUAAUGACGGUACUCAACAAGGAAGUGACGGCUAACUACGUGCCAGCAGCCGCGGUAAAACGUAGGUCACAAGCGUUGUCCGGAAUUACUGGGUGUAAAGGGAGCGCAGGCGGGAAGGCAAGUUGGAAGUGAAAUCCAUGGGCUCAACCCAUGAACUGCUUUCAAAACUGUUUUUCUUGAGUAGUGCAGAGGUAGGCGGAAUUCCCGGUGUAGCGGUGGAUGCGUAGAUAUCGGGAGGAACACCAGUGGCGAAGGCGGCCUACUGGGCACCAACUGACGCUGAGGCUCGAAAGUGUGGGUAGCAAACAGGAUUAGAUACCCUGGUAGUCCACACUGUAAACGAUGAUUACUAGGUGUUGGAGGAUUGACCCCUUCAGUGCCGCAGUUAACACAAUAAGUAAUCCACCUGGGGAGUACGACCGCAAGGUUGAAACUCAAAGGAAUUGACGGGGGCCCGCACAAGCAGUGGAGUAUGUGGUUUAAUUCGACCCAACGCGAAGAACCUUACCAAGUCUUGACAUCCUGCGACGGUGCUGGAAACAGUACUUUCCUUCGGGACGCAGAGACAGGUGGUGCAUGGUUGUCGUCAGCUCGUGUCGUGAGAUGUUGGGUUAAGUCCCGCAACGAGCGCAACCCUUAUGGUCAGUUACUACGCAAGAGGACUCUGGCCAGACUGCCGUUGACAAAACGGAGGAAGGUGGGGAUGACGUCAAAUCAUCACGCCCUUAUGACUUGGGCUACACACAUACUACAAUGGCGUUAAACAAAGAGAAGCAAGACCGCGAGGUGGAGCAAAACUCAGAAACAACGUCCCAGUUCGGACUGCAGGCUGCAACUCGCCUGCACGAAGUCGGAAUUGCUAGUAAUCGCAGAUCAGCAUGCUGCGGUGAAUACGUUCCCGGGCCUUGUACACACCGCCCGUCACACCAUGAGAGCCGGGGGGACCCGAAGUCGGUAGUCUAACCGCAAGGAGGACGCCGCCGAAGGUAAAACUGGUGAUUGGGGUGAAGUCGUAACAAGGUA